AGAUGCGCCUUCUGUUCCGCGGUGCCAACCGUUGCAGCCAGUAGGCAAGCUUGCGGCUCCAGACAGAUACGCAUAACCAGAAAGUGAUCGAUGACCUGAUGAAAGUUCUCUUCUGUCAUCCACCAGGUAAGCAAUUCCUGAUCAAGAAAAUUCCAGUUUGAUUGUGGCAUGACCCGGGUACCAAUUCGCGGUCGCGGUAAAACCAUCCCUUUUGCCGUUAACGUUUUGACCGCUUCGCGUACCGCUGUACGACUCACUCCAAAUUGCUCGCCCAGCUCAAUCUCACCAGGCAAAAUGGUGCCGGGUUCAUAUUCACCUUUUAAGAUGCGUUGCGCCAGCUUCUCAGCCAGAACAUACGAAAGGUUUUUCUGUGCAGCUAACUGUUGUGCGCUUAAAGGCAUUACUAAUCUUCCUUUUUCUUUUUAUUCCUCCUUAGUAUGCCACCAGGAAGUGUGAUUACGGUUGCAAAAACGGCAAAUUGCUUGUUUUAUGGCACAUUAACGGGGCUUUUGCUGAAAAAAUGCGCGGUCAGAAAAUUAUUUUAAAUUUCCUCUUGUCAGGCCGGAAUAACUCCCUAUAAUGCGCCACCACUGACACGGAACAACGGCAAACACGCCGCCGGGUCAGCGGGGUUCUCCUGAGAAUUCCGACAGAGAAAGCAAAAAUAAAUGCUUGACUCUGUAGCGGGAAAGCGUAUUAUGCACACCCCGCGCCGCUGAGAAAAAGCGAAGCGGCACUGCUCUUUAACAAUUUAUCAGACAAUCUGUGUGGGCACUCGAAGAUACGGAUUCUUAACGUCGCAAGACGAAAAAUGAAUACCAAGUCUCAAGAGUGAACACGUAAUUCAUUACGAAGUUUAAUUCUUUGAGCAUCAAACUUUUAAAUUGAAGAGUUUGAUCAUGGCUCAGAUUGAACGCUGGCGGCAGGCCUAACACAUGCAAGUCGAACGGUAACAGGAAGCAGCUUGCUGCUUCGCUGACGAGUGGUGGACGGGUGAGUAAUGUCUGGGAAACUGCCUGAUGGAGGGGGAUAACUACUGGAAACGGUAGCUAAUACCGCAUAACGUCGCAAGACCAAAGAGGGGGACCUUCGGGCCUCUUGCCAUCGGAUGUGCCCAGAUGGGAUUAGCUAGUAGGUGGGGUAACGGCUCACCUAGGCGACGAUCCCUAGCUGGUCUGAGAGGAUGACCAGCCACACUGGAACUGAGACACGGUCCAGACUCCUACGGGAGGCAGCAGUGGGGAAUAUUGCACAAUGGGCGCAAGCCUGAUGCAGCCAUGCCGCGUGUAUGAAGAAGGCCUUCGGGUUGUAAAGUACUUUCAGCGGGGAGGAAGGGAGUAAAGUUAAUACCUUUGCUCAUUGACGUUACCCGCAGAAGAAGCACCGGCUAACUCCGUGCCAGCAGCCGCGGUAAUACGGAGGGUGCAAGCGUUAAUCGGAAUUACUGGGCGUAAAGCGCACGCAGGCGGUUUGUUAAGUCAGAUGUGAAAUCCCCGGGCUCAACCUGGGAACUGCAUCUGAUACUGGCAAGCUUGAGUCUCGUAGAGGGGGGUAGAAUUCCAGGUGUAGCGGUGAAAUGCGUAGAGAUCUGGAGGAAUACCGGUGGCGAAGGCGGCCCCCUGGACGAAGACUGACGCUCAGGUGCGAAAGCGUGGGGAGCAAACAGGAUUAGAUACCCUGGUAGUCCACGCCGUAAACGAUGUCGACUUGGAGGUUGUGCCCUUGAGGCGUGGCUUCCGGAGCUAACGCGUUAAGUCGACCGCCUGGGGAGUACGGCCGCAAGGUUAAAACUCAAAUGAAUUGACGGGGGCCCGCACAAGCGGUGGAGCAUGUGGUUUAAUUCGAUGCAACGCGAAGAACCUUACCUGGUCUUGACAUCCACAGAACCUUGUAGAGAUACGAGGGUGCCUUCGGGAACUGUGAGACAGGUGCUGCAUGGCUGUCGUCAGCUCGUGUUGUGAAAUGUUGGGUUAAGUCCCGCAACGAGCGCAACCCUUAUCCUUUGUUGCCAGCGGUCCGGCCGGGAACUCAAAGGAGACUGCCAGUGAUAAACUGGAGGAAGGUGGGGAUGACGUCAAGUCAUCAUGGCCCUUACGACCAGGCUACACACGUGCUACAAUGGCGCAUACAAAGAGAAGCGACCUCGCGAGAGCAAGCGGACCUCAUAAAGUGCGUCGUAGUCCGGAUUGGAGUCUGCAACUCGACUCCAUGAAGUCGGAAUCGCUAGUAAUCGUGGAUCAGAAUGCCACGGUGAAUACGUUCCCGGGCCUUGUACACACCGCCCGUCACACCAUGGGAGUGGGUUGCAAAAGAAGUAGGUAGCUUAACCUUCGGGAGGGCGCUUACCACUUUGUGAUUCAUGACUGGGGUGAAGUCGUAACAAGGUAACCGUAGGGGAACCUGCGGUUGGAUCACCUCCUUACCUUAAAGAAGCGUACUUUGCAGUGCUCACACAGAUUGUCUGAUAGAAAGUGAAAAGCAAGGCGUCUUGCGAAGCAGACUGAUACGUCCCCCUCGUCUAGAGGCCCAGGACACCGCCCUUUCACGGCGGUAACAGGGGUUCGAAUCCCCUAGGGGACGCCACUUGCUGGUUUGUGAGUGAAAGUCGCCGACCUUAAUAUCUCAAAACUCAUCUUCGGGUGAUGUUUGAGAUAUUUGCUCUUUAAAAAUCUGGAUCAAGCUGAAAAUUGAAACACUGAACAACGAGAGUUGUUCGUGAGUCUCUCAAAUUUUCGCAACACGAUGAUGAAUCGAAAGAAACAUCUUCGGGUUGUGAGGUUAAGCGACUAAGCGUACACGGUGGAUGCCCUGGCAGUCAGAGGCGAUGAAGGACGUGCUAAUCUGCGAUAAGCGUCGGUAAGGUGAUAUGAACCGUUAUAACCGGCGAUU
rnacentral:rRNA from 1 species